rnacentral:rRNA from 1 species
GACGAACGCUGGCGGCGUGCUUAACACAUGCAAGUCGAACGAGUGGCGAACGGGUGAGUAACACGUGGGUGAUCUGCCUUGCACUUCGGGAUAAGCUUGGGCAACUGGGUCUAAUACCGGAUAGUGCAAGAUGAGCUCGCGGCCUAUCAGCUUGUUGGUGGGGUAAGGGCUAGCAAGGCGCGACGGGUAGGCGGCCUGAGAGGGUGUACGGCGACAUUGGGGCUGGGAUGCGGCCCUGAGUCCUACGAGAGGCAGCAGUGGGGAAUAGUGCACAAUGGGCGAAAGCCUGAUCCAGCCAUGCCGCGUGUGUGAAGAAGGUCUGCGGAGUGUAAAGCCGUUUAAGUUGGGAGGCGUUACCGACAGAAGAAGCACCGGCUAACUCUGUGCCAGCAGCCGCGGUAAUUC